rnacentral:rRNA from 1 species
UACGUAGGUGGCAAGCGCUAUCCGGAAUUAUUGGGCGUAAAGCGCGCGUAGGCGGUUUCUUAAGUCUGAUGUGAAAGCCCACGGCUCAACCGUGGAGGGUCAUUGGAAACUGGGAAACUUGAGUGCAGAAGAGGAAAGUGGAAUUCCAUGUGUAGCGGUGAAAUGCGCAGAGAUAUGGAGGAACACCAGUGGCGAAGGCGACUUUCUGGUCUGUAACUGACGCUGAUGUGCGAAAGCGUGGGGAUCAAACAGG